UACGUAGGGUGCAAGCGUUAAUCGGAAUUACUGGGCGUAAAGCGUGCGCAGGCGGUUUUGUAAGUCAGAUGUGAAAUCCCCGGGCUUAACCUGGGAACUGCGUCUGAAACUACAAGGCUAGAGUGUGGCAGAGGGGGGUGGAAUUCCACGUGUAGCAGUGAAAUGCGUAGAGAUGUGGAGGAACACCGAUGGCGAAGGCAGCCCCCUGGGUUAACACUGACGCUCAGGCACGAAAGCGUGGGGAGCAAACAGG
rnacentral:rRNA from 1 species